CAGAAUUACUGGCAGAAGGAGAAGUUUUACCUUGAGGACAGCAGGUCGCGGAACCGGCAGAGGACCCUCAGCGGAGCCCGGGCUGCCCAGCAUCAGAAGCCAACGGAGGACCCCGCCGUGGCCAGCAUUCAGGCCAAACUCCCUAAGAACUCUCCAUUUAAAACGCAAUUCAAACAACGGCAAGUACUACAACUUUGGAAUGUGGCUGGUAUUGUAAAACUGAGAAAACAGUCAAGAAAAUGUGGCGACACACUCCGAAAGCUGUGUUCGUCCCAUGAGGUGUAAGGAGCCAAUGCACGAGGACGGCCAGCGGCAGAGACCGAAGCGAGGAGCGGCGGAGCCUGCAGGGAGGCCGGUCCUCCCCUCUCGACCCCCCUGCCGGAUACCCUGGCUUCUAUGGAGCUAACGAGCGAGGAAAAAGCCGAACUUUAAACUGGACUGGUGGCUGUUCAGCUUAAUUCACCUGAAUAACAGAGUCUAAAAACUAAUUUUAAUAUUCCUCAGAUGGGGCGCCUGGACGGCUCAGAGGUUAAGCUCUGCUUUCGGCUGGAGUUCGGGGAUCGAGUCCCACAUCGGGCUCCCUGAGGGGAGCCUGCUUCUCCCUCUGCCUGUGUCUCUCUUUUUCUGUGCCUCUCAUGAAUAAAUAAAA